AGUGAACGCUGGCGGUAGGCCUAACACAUGCAAGUCGAACGGCAGCACAGUAAGAGCUUGCUCUUACGGGUGGCGAGUGGCGGACGGGUGAGGAAUACAUCGGAAUCUACUUUUUCGUGGGGGAUAACGUAGGGAAACUUACGCUAAUACCGCAUACGACCUACGGGUGAAAGCAGGGGAUCUUCGGACCUUGCGCGAUUGACUGAGCCGAUGUCGGAUUAGCUAGUUGGCGGGGUAAAGGCCCACCAAGGCGACGAUCCGUAGCUGGUCUGAGAGGAUGAACAGCCACACUGGAACUGAGACACGGUCCAGACUCCUACGGGAGGCAGCAGUGGGGAAUAUUGGACAAUGGGCGCAAGCCUGAUCCAGCCAUACCGCGUGGGUGAAGAAGGCCUUCGGGUUGUAAAGCCCUUUUGUUGGGAAAGAAAAGCAGCAGGUUAAUACCCCGCUGUUCUGACGGUACCCAAAGAAUAAGCACCGGCUAACUUCGUG
rnacentral:rRNA from 1 species